rnacentral:rRNA from 1 species
GACGAACGCUGGCGGCGUGGAUUAGGCAUGCAAGUCGAACGGUAUCAUCCUUUCGGGGGUGAGAGAGUGGCGAACUGGUGAGUAACACGUAGGUUAUCUACCCUCAAGACGGGGACAACCCAGGGAAACUUGGGCUAAUACCGGAUGUGAGCAACUUUUAGUUGUUUGAAAGGUGGCGUAAGCUGUCGCUUGGGGAUGAGCCUGCGUCCUAUUAGUUAGUUGGUGAGGUAACGGCUCACCUAGGCAAUGAUAGGUAGGCGGCCUUAACGGGUGGUCGCCCACACUGGGAUUGAGAUACGGCCCAGACUCCUACGGGAGGCAGCAGUCGAGAAUAGUCUAACAAUGGUCGGAAGACUGAUAGUGCGACGCCGCGUGAACGAUGAAUCCCUUCGGGGUGUAAAGUUCUUUUAUAUGUGAGCAGUGCUUCUUAUAUUAACAGUAUGGGAGAGAGAUAUUAGAUAUGAAUAAGCAACGGCUAACUCCGUGCCAGCAGCCGACGGU